rnacentral:rRNA from 1 species
UACGUAGGUGGCGAACGUUGUCCGGAUUUACUGGGCGUAAAGCGCGCGCAGGCGGACCGAUAAGUCAGAGGUGAAAUCUCCCGGCUCAACUGGGAGGGGCCCUUUGAUACUGUCGGUCUUGAGAUGCCUAGAGGAGAGUGGAAUUCCCGGUGUAGUGGUGGAAUGCGUAGAUAUCGGGAGGAACACCAGAGGCGAAGGCGGGUUACUGGGCUGAUACUGACGCUGAUGCGCGAAAGCCAGGGGAGCAAACGGG